CCUACGGGUGGCAGCAGUGAGGAAUAUUGGUCAAUGGGCUUACGCCUGAACCAGCCAAGUCGCGUGAGGGAAGACUGCCCUAUGGGUUGUAAACCUCUUUUGUCAGGGAGCAACGCCGGCCACGUGUAUCCGGACUGAGAGUACCUGCAGAAAAAGCAUCGGCUAACUCCGUGCCAGCAGCCGCGGUAAUACGGAGGAUGCGAGCGUUCUCCGGAAUUAUUGGGUUGAAAGGGUGCGUAGGCCGAAUGCCUAGUCAGCGGUAAAAUCGCGGGGCUCAACCACGGUCCGCCGUUGAAUCUGGCGUUCUUGAGUGGGCGAGAAGGAUGUGGAAUGCGUGGUGUAGCGGGGAAAUGCA
rnacentral:rRNA from 1 species